UACGAAGGGGGCGAGCGUUGUUCGGAUUUACUGGGCGUAAAGGGCGCGCAGGCGGCUCAUUUUGUCAGGCGUGAAAGCCCCGGGCUUAACCUGGGAACUGCGUUUGAUACGGAUGGGCUAGAGUUCGGGAGAGGAGCGUGGAAUUCCCAGUGUAGAGGUGAAAUUCGUAGAUAUUCGCAAGAACACCAGUGGCGAAGGCGGCUCACUGGCCCGAUACUGACGCUGAGGUGCGAAAGCGUGGGGAGCAAACAGG
rnacentral:rRNA from 1 species